UGGGGAAUAUUGGGCAAUGGGCGAAAGCCUGACCCAGCCACGCCGCGUGAGUGAUGAAGGCCUUCGGGUCGUAAAGCUCUGUGGGGAGGGACGAACAAGUGCGCAUCUAACACAUGCGCGCCCUGACGGUACCUCCUUAGCAAGCACCGGCUAACCAUGUGCCAGCAGCCGCGGUAAUACAUGGGGUGCAAACGUUGCUCGGAAUCAUUGGGCGUAAAGCGCGCGUAGGCGGUUACUUAAGUUGGAUGUGAAAGCCCUCGGCUUAACCGAGGAAGUGCACCCAAAACUGAGUAGCUUGAGUACUAAAGAGGGUCGCGGAAUUCCCGGUGUAGAGGUGAAAUUCGUAGAUAUCGGGAGGAACACCGGUGGCGAAGGCGGCGACCUGGGUAGAUACUGACGCUGAGGCGCGAAAGCGUGGGGAGCAAACAG
rnacentral:rRNA from 1 species